rnacentral:rRNA from 1 species
UGGUGGAGUGAUUUGUCUGGUUAAUUCCGUUAACGAACGAGACCUCGACCUGCUAAAUAGUUCGACGAACAGCUUCGUGCAGUUCGCUCGUUUGACUUCUUAGAGGGACUAUCGGUGUGUAGCCGAUGGAAGUUCGAGGCAAUAACA